AUCCAGCUGAAGAGUCCUAAACAGGACGAAACGCGCGUCCUGGAU
rnacentral:hammerhead_ribozyme from 1 species